CGGAGUGUAGCGCAGCCUGGUAGCGCAUCUGUUUUGGGAACAGAGGGUCGGGAGUUCGAAUCUCUCCACUCCGACCA
rnacentral:tRNA from 2 species